rnacentral:rRNA from 1 species
UUGACCUCGGAUCAGGUAGGGAUACCCGCUGAACUUAAGCAUAUCAAUAAGCGGAGGAAAAGAAACCAACAGGGAUUACCUCAGUAACGGCGAGUGAAGCGGUAACAGCUCAAAUUUGAAAGCUAGCCCUCUUAGGGUUCGCAUUGUAAUUUGUAGAAGAUGCUUCGGGUGUGGCCCCGGUCUAAGUUCCUUGGAACAGGACGUCAUAGAGGGUGAGAAUCCCGUAUGUGACUGGGUGCUUUCGCUCAUGUGAAGCUCUUUCGACGAGUCGAGUUGUUUGGGAAUGCAGCUCAAAAUGGGUGGUAAAUUUCAUCUAAAGCUAAAUAUUGGCCAGAGACCGAUAGCGCACAAGUAGAGUGAUCGAAAGAUGAAAAGCACUUUGGAAAGAGAGUUAAACAGUACGUGAAAUUGUUGAAAGGGAAGCGCUUGCAACCAGACUUGCGCGCUGAUGAUCAUCCGGGCUUCUGUCCGGUGCACUCGUCUGCGCUCAGGCCAGCAUCGGUUUCAGUGGCGGGAUAAAGGCCUUGGGAAUGUAGCUCCUCUAG